rnacentral:rRNA from 1 species
UACAGAGGUCCCAAGCGUUGUUCGGAUUCAUUGGGCGUAAAGAGCGUGUAGGCGGCCAUGUAGGUCCGGUGUGAAAACUCGAGGCUUAACCUCGAGAUGUCAUCGGAAACCAUUUGGCUAGAGUCCGGAAGAGGAGAGUGGAAUUCCUGGUGUAGCGGUGAAAUGCGCAGAUAUCAGGAAGAACACCAAUGGCGAAAGCAGCUCUCUGGGACGGUACUGACGCUGAGACGCGAAAGCGUGGGGAGCGAACAGG